rnacentral:rRNA from 1 species
GACGAACGCUGGCGGCGUGCUUAACACAUGCAAGUCGAACGGAAAGGCCCUGCUUUUGUGGGGUGCUCGAGUGGCGAACGGGGGAGUAACACGUGAGUAACAUGCCCUUGACUUUGGGAUAACUUCAGGAAACUGGGGCUAAUACCGGAUAGGAGAUACUGCUGCACGGUGGGGGUUGGAAAGAUUCGGCGGUUGGGGAUGGACUCGCGGCUUAUCAGCUUGUUGGUGGGGUAGUGGCUUACAAAGGCUUUGAAGGGUAGCCGGCCUGGGAGGGUGACCGGCCACAUGGGGACUGAGAGAGGCACCAGACUCCUACGGGAGGCAGCGGGGGGGAGUAUUGCGCAAUGGGCGGAAGCCUGAGGCAGCAACGCCGCGUGCGGGAUGACGGCCUUCGGGUUGUAAACCGCUUUCGCCUGUGACGAACCGGGAGUGACGGUAAUGGGUAAAGAAGCACCGGCUAACUACGUG